UGCACACUCCUUAGAUCCACCAUCUGUAUUGCUGGAUGGUGCUUGAGUCAUAAGUGUGCUAGAUAACGGUACCUCCAAUGUUUACAAUAUUGUUUUUAACCAUUCAUUUAAUUAUUUUAAACUUUGUAAGCAUUGGGGAACAA